rnacentral:rRNA from 1 species
UACGUAGGUGGCGAGCGUUGUCCGGAUUUACUGGGCGUAAAGCGCGUGUAGGCGGCCCACCAAGUCUGUCGUGAAAUAUCCCGGCUCAACCGGGAGGGGCCGACGGAGACUGGUGAGCUUGAGGAGAGCAGAGGAAGGUGGAAUUCCCGGUGUAGUGGUGAAAUGCGUAGAUAUCGGGAGGAACACCAGUGGCGAAGGCGGCCUUCUGGGCUCUACCUGACGCUGAGACGCGAAAGCGUGGGGAGCGAACCGG